UACGUAGGGUGCGAGCGUUGGUCCGGAAUUACUGGGCGUAAAGAGCUCGUAGGGUGGUUUGUCGCGUUGUCCGUGAAAACUCACAACUCAAUUGAUGGGCGGUGCGGCGAUACGGCAGACUGGAGUACUGCAGGGGAGACUGGAAUUCCUGGUGUAGCGGUGGAAUGCGCAGAUAUCAGGAGGAACACCGGUGGCGAAGGCGGGUCUCUGGGCAUUACCUGACGUGAGGAGCGAAAGUGUGGGGAGCGAACAGG
rnacentral:rRNA from 1 species